GUAGCACAUCAAGUCGAGGACUUUCUCACAUGUCAUCUACGGAAGAUAAGGCCAAAGGAAAGAAUCUGAAGUUUUCUGAAAGUAAAAUCAAAUCAACAUCACACUAAAGAAUCUGCACAACUGGGCAAUGUGUGCACACGGAGGCCUGAUUCUCUAAGUGAUCUCAAGAUUUUCCAAGUGAUCAGUACUGUUUGCUCAACGGUGCAUGCAGAGAAAGUGACAGCAAGAUUAAACCCAUGCACUAGACCUUGAGGGAGCAAUAACUCAUUUUCUGCUGUUAAAAAACAAAAGAACAAAACUUUCAAGGAAUGGACUGGGGAUACCAGAAGGAACACGGAAGAGGCAGCCGUGCCGUUUGGGAGUUGUUACGAGAUGCACGCGGACCUAAUUCCUUUGCCCCUGAAGACAGACGUCUGUCCUCAGAGCACGGAGCCGCGACCCGGAGGGAACGCGGCGUCCUGCAUGCCGAUGGCUCGCAGCAACAAGCAUCUUGCACAGACACAGGAAAAAGGAAAGGAUCAGACUCACCCCAUGUUGCACCACUGUUUCAGGGAAGCGUCUCAAAAGCAGAAGCAGCAUUUCU